GUGGCAUUGGCGGUAUAAAUCUUAGAAUGAUUUGCGCGGUAUAAAUCUUAGAAUGAUUUGCGAUCAAGUCUUCCGUUAACUCUAAGUACUUUUGUUUUCGUAAACUAAUAUUUGGAAAAUAUUAUUAGAAGUUCUUUGUUGUACGUUAUGUCAUCAAUCGUCUCUCACGAUCUUGGUCCAAAUAUACUAAUACAAAUCGAUUUCGUAUUGCAUUGUAUAAUUUGUAGUUACCGGCAUUGAAUUUGUAGUUAAAAGCGUUUAUCAAACAUUCGACGUUAUGGUUUCAUGACUUACAUAGUGCAUUUGAACUCGUGAGAAACUUGGAACCUCUUCCAAUAUUAAACAGAGGGAAUGCAUCAAGUCAGAGCCGGUUGGUUUCGAGAAUCAAAGAAAAAUCCUACUUUGAAUAGAAACAGCUUCCGAAGAAACAGAGGGAUCCACGGAAGACGAUCCUUCCCUUAUUUCGGAAGAAACAGAGGUAGAACCAUUACCAUUCUUUUGAGGUUCCUUUCUAAAGUUAAAGUGGCUAAGGCCCAGGAC
rnacentral:lncRNA from 1 species